rnacentral:lncRNA from 1 species
GAGAGGAGAGAGGGGAAGAUGGGAGAGGAGAGGGGGAGGGGAGAGUGCGGGAGAGAGAGACAGAGUUGGGAGGGAGAGAGGAGGGGGGGAGAGAGGAGAGAGGGGGAGAUGGGAGAGGAGAGGGCGAGAGGGGGGAGGGGAGAGUGUGAGAGAGAGAGACAGAGUUGGGAGGGAGAGAGGAGGGGGAGAGAGAGGAGAGAGGGGGAGAUGGGAGAGGAGAGGGCGAGAGGGGGGAGGGGAGAGUGUGGGAGAGAGAGACAGAGUUGGGAGGGAGAGAGGAGGGGGAGAGAGGAGAGAGGGGAAAUGAACCUUUAUUUAACUAGGCAAGUCAGUUAAGAACAAAUUCUUUGGUGAUGUGGACACCAAGGAACAUGAAACUCUCGACCCGCUCCACUACAUCCCCGUCGAUGUUCAUGGGGGCCUGUUCGGUCCUCCUUUAAGUCCUGUAGUCCACGAUCAUCUCCUUUGUCUCGCUCACGUUGAGGGAGAGGACAGGCCAGGUCUCUGACCUCCUCCCUAUAGGGCCCGUCUCGUCGUUGUCGGUGAUCGGGCCUACUACUACCACUGUUGUGCCGUCAGCAAACUUAAUGAUGGCCGUUGCAGUUGUGAGUGAACUGGAAGUACAGGAAAGGGUCUGAGCACGUACCCCUUGAUAACUGACUGUAGACUACUCAUUCUCCUUUAUGAUGGCCGUUGGAGCAGUAUAUUACAGGUAGAUUGCUGGGUUAAUUCCUGUUUAUUGCUGGGUUUGUCGACAAGGCAGAUUCCUUUAGGUUUUACAAUGGGCUUAGGUGGGCCUUUGGAGAGCGUGCGUGUGUGUGUGUGUGUGUGUGUGUGUAAUGAUUGAAGGAGGGAUGUUUUUCUGUCCUCCGUCAUUCGAGUCACUCAUUCCCUCGUUCGUGCCAUCCUGUGGUUUAACGGUUUGAUCUGAUGGCCUGGUGACCUGGGCGUCCGGUCACACGAACACAAUAACCUUCUGAUGGGGAUUGACUGGCAGUUCAUCUUUCAUCUGGUUUCACAUCAACAGGGUUAGAGAAGGGGGAAAGGCUCUCUCUCUCUCUCUCUCUCUCUCUCUCUCUCUCUCUCUCUCUCUCUCUCUCUCUCUCUCUCUCUCUCUCUUUGUCUUUCUCUCUCUCUCUCUCUCCCUUUCUCUCUCUCUCUCUCUCUCUCUCUCUCUCUCUCUCUCUCUCUCCGCUCUCUCUCUCUCUCUCUCUCACCAUCUCUCUCUCUGUCUGUCUCUCUCUCUCUCUGUCUCUCUCUCUCUCUCUCUCUCUCUCUCUCUCUCUCUCUCUCUCUCUCUCUCUCUCUCUGUCUCUCUCUCUCUGUCUCUGUUUCUCUCUCUCUCUCCCUCUCUUUCUCUCUCUCUCUCUGUCUUUCUCUCUCUCUCUCUCUCUCUCUCUCUCUCUCUCUCUCUCUCAAAUUCAGAUUGCUUUAUUGGCAUGAAAUACAAGUGGUAGAUAGCCAAACCAGUACAGUGGUACAUUAUUACAGUAAGGACAGUAUAGAGGUACAUUAUUACAGUAAGGACAGUAUAGAGGUACAUUAUUACAGUAAGGACAGUACAGUGGUACAUCAUUACAGUAAGGACAGUACAGUGGUACAUCAUUACAGUAAGGACAGUACAGUAGUAGAUAUAUAAACCAGUAUAGUUGUACAUCAUUACAGUAAGGACAGUAUAGAGGUAUAUCAUUACAGUAAGGACAGUAUAGAGGUACAUAAUUACAGUAAGGACAGUACAGUGGUUCAUCAUUACAGUAAGGACAGUAUAGAGGUACAUCAUUACAGUAAGGACAGUAUAGAGGUACAUUAUUACAGUAAGGACAGUAUAGAGGUACAUCAUUACAGUAAGGACAGUAUAGAGGUACAUUAUUACAGUAAGCACAGUACAGCGGUACAUUAUUACAGUAAGGACAGUACAGUGGUACAUUAUUACAGUAAGGACAGUACAGUGGUACAUUAUUACAGUAAGGACAGUACGGUGGUACAUCAUUACAGUAAGGACAGUACAGAGGUACAUUAUUACAGUAAGGACAGUAUAGCGGUACAUUAUUACAGUAAGGACAGUAUAGCGGUACAUUAUUACAGUAAGGACAGUACAGAGCAGUGAGGGAACAUGGAUGAUGGGUCCAUUAUGUACUUGUCAGUUAUAUACAAUGUAAACACUACAAGGAAUGAAUGGUCAUGGGAUGUGCCUCAGGCUGUGACAAUCAUAUAUCUGGCUGUUAUAUUAACAUGUCUGUCAUUAUGAAUAGAUACAUACAUAUAUAUACAUAUAUAUAUAUAUAUAUAUAUACAUACAGUGUUUUAACGACGGGGCAAUAGUUAAAGUACAUGGUAGAAAAAUGAACAUUAAAUUAUCCAUUGCACCUGUACAUAGCCCAUCUGUAUAAUAGCCCAUCUACCUACCUCAUCCCCAUAUUGUUUUUUAUUUUAUUUAUUUUGCUCCUUUUGCAGCCCAGUACAUCUACUUGCACAUUCAUCUUCUGCACGUCUAUCACUCCAGUGUUUAAUUGCUAUAUUGUAAUUAUUUCGCACCACUACGGCCUAUUUAUUGCCUUACCUCCUUUAUCCUACCUCAUUUGCAUACACUGUAUAUAGACUUUCUCUAUUGUGUUAUUGGCUGUAUGUUUUGUUUAUUAUACUCCAUGUGUAACUCUGUGUUGUUGUUUGUGCCGCACUGCUUUGCUUUUAUCUUGGCCGGGUCGCAGUUGUAAAAUGAGAACUUGUUCUCAACUAGCCUACCUGGUUAAAUAAAGGUGAAAUAAAAAAAUUUAAAAUUCUGGCAACAGCACUGUUGGAUAUUCCUGUAGUCAGCAUGCCAAUUGCACCCUCCUCCCUCAAAACUUGAGACAUCUGUGGCGUUGUGUUGUGUGACAAAACUGCACAUUUUAGAGUGAUCUUUGUUUGUCCCCAGCACAAGGUGCACCUGUGCAAAGUUAAUUAUUUUUAAAUGGACAGUAAACAUUUACACUCACAAAAGUUCCAAAGGAAUAAAGACAUUUCAAAUAUAUUACUGUCUAUAUACAGUGUUGUAACGAUGUGUAAAAAAGUACAAAAGGUAAAAUAAAUAAACAUAAAUAUGGGUUGUAUUUACAAUGGUGUUUGUUCUUCACUGGUUGACCUUUUCUUGUGGCAACAGGUCACAAAUCCUGCUGUUGUGAUGGAACACUGUGGUAUUUCACCCAGUAGAUAUGGGAGUUUAUCAAGAUUGGGUUUGUUUUCGAAUUCUUUGUGGAUCUGUGUAAUCUGCGGGAAAUAUGUGUCUCUAAUAUGGUCAUACAUUUGGCAGGAAGUUAGGCAGUGCAGUUCAGUUUCCACCUCAUUUUGUGGGCAGUGUUGCACAUAGCCUGUCUUCUCUUGAGAGCCCAGGUCUGCCUACGGCGGCCUUUCUCAAUAGCAAGGCUAUGCUCACUGAGUCUGUACAUAGUUAAAGUUUCCUUAAGUUUGGGUCAGUCACAGUGGUCAGAUAUUCUGCUACUGUGUCCUCUCUGUUUGGGGACAAAUAACAUUCUAGUUUUCUCUGUUUUUUUGUUAAUUCUUUCCAAUGUGUCAUGUAAUUAUAUUUUAGUUUUCUCAUGAUUUGGUUGGUGUCUAAUUGUGUU